rnacentral:tmRNA from 1 species
CGGAUUUGAUUUCGUUCCGGAUCCUGGCGUCAUUUAGAAAUCUUGCUGCGUAGCUACGCCUUAGGGCUGCGCGGGACUCAAACUCAGGCUGGGCCUGUCGGUUAGGUCGCUUCAUGCUAUGACCGGGGCCGAGUAGAACGCAGUGAAGCUACACCCGUAGAAGGAUCGGAAUCCAGGUAGCGGACGGGGGUUCAAUUCCCCCCAUCUCCACCA